rnacentral:rRNA from 1 species
GACGUAGGGGGCCAGCGUUGUUCGGAAUUACUGGGUGUAAAGGGUUCGUAGGCGGUGUGGCAAGUUGGGAGUGAAAUCUCUGGGCUCAACCCAGAGGCUGCUUCCAAAACUGCCAUGCUUGAGUGUGGGAGAGGCGCGUGGAAUUGCAGGUGUAGCGGUGAAAUGCGUAGAUAUCGGGAGGAACACCUGUGGCGAAAGCGGCGCACUGGACCAUUACUGACGCUGAUGCACGAAAGCUAGGGGAGCAAACAGG